UUGAAAAAUGAUGGCCAGAGCCUCCUCCUC
rnacentral:piRNA from 1 species